AUACUUACCUGGCAGGGGUGAUUCCAUGAUCACGAAGGUGGUUUCCCCAGGGCGAGGCUUAUCCAUUGCACUCCGGAUGGGCUGACUCCUGCGAUUUCCCCAAAUGCGGGAAACUCGACUGCAUAAUUUGUGGUAGUGGGGGACUGCGUUCGCGCUCUCCCCUG
rnacentral:snRNA from 1 species